ensembl:lncRNA
CUUUCUUUUUGUCCGAGGUCAGUGAGUGGUCCUGUGGGCUGUUGAAGUGUCCAUCUGGUUUAGUCUCUCUUGAAGAGGUGUGUGUGUGUUGUUGCCCCUCCCCUCAGACUGUCUCUCUUGAAGAGGUGUGUGUGUGUGUUGCCCCCCCCUCUCCUCCCAGACCUCUGCCCCUCCUGAAGAGGUGUGUGUGUUGUUGCCCCCCCCUCCCUCUCAGACCUCCGUCUCUCUUGAAGAGGUGUGUGUCUCUCUUGAAGAGGUGUGUGUGUUGUUGCCCUCCUCUCCUCUCAGACCUCCGACUCCAGGCUGGAGCAUC